UGAAGGGUAGUUUAACUAGAAUGCGAGGUUGUCAGCCUCGAGGUGUUGGUGAUCUAACUCCUUUAG
rnacentral:tRNA from 1 species